AGGAACACUGCUCUUUUACUAAAUUACAGUCCAUUUAUCGAUCAUCUUUUUAAAAACAAUAUGGCAUUUUCAUACUAUGUACAUCUCAAAAAAUGUUUAAUGUCCUUCAGAAGUAAGGAUCAGAGGCUGAACGAGGCUGCUCAAGCAGGAAAUGUUGAUGCCUUGUAUGAAUUAAUAUGGGAGGACGCAUAUCUUUUAGAUCAGAUAGACCAAGUACCAUUCGUGGAUACUCCUUUACAUAUAGCAGCAUCAAUGGGGCAUAUCAACUUUGCCCUGGAGAUAAUGAGGUUAAAGCCAUCAUUUGCGAGAAAGCAAAACCAAUAUGGAUUUAGUCCCCUGCAUCUUGCUUUGCAGAAGCAAAACCAAUAUGUACUUAGUGGCGAGGAUCUUUUGCAGAAGAAACAGACCCAAAUGGUGCUUCGGCUCAUAGACGUGGACAGAAAUCUUGUUCGUGUCCAAGGAAGGGAGGGUGUAACGCCUCUACACUAUGUUGCUGAGAAAGGAAAUGUCGAUCUUCUAUGCAAACUUCUAGCGGCUUGCCCUGAGUCCAUCACAGAGGUGACAAUCCGUAAAGAGACUGCUUUGCAUGUUGCUGCAAAAAAUGACCAGUUGGAGGCCGUUGAGUGCAUGCUAGGAUGGCUUCGAUAUGUCGACAUGGAGGAUAUCCUUAACUGGACGGACGAUGAAGGCAACACUUUAUUGCAUAUCACAAUCUCCAAAAGUCAAAUAAAGGCAUGAAAUUUUUUUAAAUUUUACUUCAGUUAGUCCCUAUAUUUUCAUGAUUAUUAAUUGCAUGCAUAUAUAAAUAUAUACUUGCAGUUGGUGAGGCUACUAGUUAAAAGAGCACGUGAUCAAAUAAAUGCCCGGAACUUAGACAAUAAGACACCCAUGGACAUGGUAGAAGAACAUUUGGGAGGGAAACCUGAAUUUAAAGAAGUAACACGCAUGGUGCGCAAAGCUGGCGGUAGACAAGGGUCCUCCCUUCCUGAUGGGGAUAUUGCAGGUUACUUAAAACAAGGUUUGACAUGGCGUCGAAACGUGAUUUUGUUCCUUUACCGCUUAUCACAGCACAUUACGGAUGAAAAUCGAAGCGCACUACUUGUGGUUGCUGUAUUAAUAGCGACAGCCACAUUCCAAGCAGCGCUUACCCCGGCUGACGAUCUUCAGGGAAAUAAGUCAACUGGAACCCCCAACUCUAUUGCCACUAAUGGAUCACACUCACCAUCGACAUCGGCAUCGGCAUCAGCAUGGGCAUAUGUAACACCAUCAGGAAGAGCAAAUUCAACCGCCAUUUCUCGGGGCAAUGGAACCAGCAGCAGCAUCCCAACAAGUGACAAGAUUCUAUUCGCUCCGGGGCAAUUUUAUGGCGAUGCCAUCAGUGAUAUGAUCUCCACACUUUUCGCAUUUUCAAAUAUUUCAGCCUUUUGUAUAGCUAUGCUGGUGAUUAAUUAUAACCUCCCGUGUGGCUCUACUCUGGUAUAUCCUCUUGUUAUUUGCUUUUGCCUGUUAGUGGUUGGCAGAACCCCGGUGUCGCUACUUGCCUCACUUUUAAUGUUUAUCGUCUUUCGGAUUUUUUUAUUUGUACAACUGGACUUCUCCAAGAUUCGAUUUAGACGAAGCUUCUGGACUACACAAGUUUUGGGCUCUGUUUUCAAACAUUACAGAAGCUUCUUCAAUAAGAUAAUGAAAGAAGCUGAAAAAUAGCUAUAAUGCCAAUAUGCUGCCAUGGACAAAACACAUGUCCGUUGGUCUGUUGAUGUUCUAUGCUGGCUUGGCUAUAUCUACUUAUUGGUGGUUUUAUUUUGAGUAAGAAGGUGUGUUUUUGUGUACUGUAUUUUCUGAAUUAUGUUCGUUUGCUUUUGCUUCAUUUUGUAAGGUCUUGCGUGUUUCAAUGUAAUUGUUAGAGUGCAAUUUAUGCACUAGUUUUGCAUUGUUUACUUCCCUUAAUAUCGAUGUUUUGCACUUAAUAAUAAUGUUUUACUUGUGUUUUACUUUUGUAGGUGCAAUUCUAUUGAUUGAUGAUAAAAUUGAGCUAAAAGAUGAUGUUUAAGGAGGAUUGUUCUCUUGGAGAAAUUUCUGAGCGUCAGAAGAACUUUGUUGAUAAGGCGUGGGCGCGUGCUGUCAACUGCGGACCUGCAGUUUUUAGUUUAACGUGUUUUGUAUUUUUGGUUAUUUUUGUAAUUACGAAUUUAAUAUUUCAGAUAUUAGUAUUUUAUUUUAAAUAGAAUUCUAAAAGAGAAGAGAGAGAGAGUAUUUAAGAGAGGAAUCUAUUGUGAAAAAGGGGGGAUUUUGGAUUGGAGAAAAAGAAACCCUAGAUCUAAUUUUUCUCUUCUCUCUAUGAGGAACUAAACCCAUUUUUCUGGUUGAAGGUUAAUGAAGCUUUGUUAUGUGAAUAUCAAUCUUAGUUUGUUUAUUCGAGAACUUGCUUUGUUAUGCAUGUUGAAGCCGCAUUACGAGAUUUUAUGCAUUAAAAUGAUAAGGGCAAAUCCUUUUCCAUUUUUCUAUUCUCGCAUUUUUUUUUCUCUACCCGAAGACCUUUAUUUGCUAUCUUUGUUUGAGCCUUAACCAUUACCCAUCUAAUUUUCUCCGUCUACUUAACCAUUUUUCUUCUUUUUGAGCCUCAAUUUAAGGAGAUUUUUGGACUCAUUGUGUGGAUAUAUUUUGUUGCUUUUUCUACCUUGUAAUAAAGUUUCUCAAUUAGAUCAACAAGCAUUAUGCUUGAAUUAAAUUGUGCAAGGUUCAUUUCCUUGUUUUGAUUCAAAAAAAAAAACAAAACAAAAAAAAAAGAAAAAGAAAAAAAAAGAAAAAUCGAAAAUCACUGUUCACUAUUCACUGUUCACAAAAUCCCUAAUUUUCCAGAACUUGUUUUCUUCUCCAGCCGCUUGCAGCACACCAGCAGCAAACCAGCCCGCCGGAAAACGCACCAUCCCGUGAGCGCAGCACCAGCAUCCCGUGUCUCGCAGCCCAGCAGCGCGCAACGAAGUCCCACCAGCGAAAGCAGCCGCGCGCAACGCAGCAAGCCCCAGCCAUCACCAUCGUGCGAAAUCAGCAGCAACCGUGCACGCAACACAUCCCGCGAAGCAGUAGCAGUAACGCCCCGCAACGCAGAUCCUCAGCUCCAGCCCGCGCGCACAGCGCAAAUCAAUCCAGCAAUCACCCUCGUGAAGCAGCAGCAGCAACGCCUCGCAACACAGCCACGCACCAGCAUCCCGCACGCAACCAGCAAUGUGCAACUAGCAACCAACAGCCACAGCCCACGCAUCAACAGCAACGCGCGCGCGCAACACAAUCAGUGCCAUCCCGCGUCCAUCAAGCAAGCUCCAGCCGAGCAGCAAUCGCAACGCAACCAGCCUACGACCUGCAUUCCAGGCGCGUGAAUCGAAAUCCGUGACAAGAUGGAGCAGAAUUUGGCCGCAUACUUCAAGAGUGUGGGAUUUAUCCCACCAUUCCCGCCAAACCCAUAGACGUUAUGAGGAUCAAAGCUCACAAUUCAGGGAAGUUUCUUUUUGCCCUUAAUCUUUUAUCCUUACGCUUUAAUUUUUAUGUGAGCUUUGAUUAUCUUACAUUGGGGACAAUGUAAGUUCUUGGUGUGGGGGAAGGAUUUUUGCAUUAUUGAUGUCUGGAAUUAUUGUUUUCACUCUACUCAUCUAUUUUCACUCUACUCAUCCUUAAAUGAUUUUGGAGUUAGUAUGCUUCAUAUAUUAUUAUUCUUCUUUUCUUUUCUUUCUCACUACUUUUUUCCCAUCUAUCUCAAACUAUUCAUAUCUAUUUUUAUUUUACCAUACUCUUUCAUCACUCACAUUUUAUCUUUCACUUUUCAUAUUACUACAUACAUCUUUCUCACUUCUUAUCAUUUUUACCUUUUCUUUUAUAUAUCACUCAUACUUUCUUCUCAUUCUACACCACUAUUGAUGGUUGAUUCAUUUGAAGAGUGUACAUGAUUUGAUGGCAAAUUUACCAACUUUGUGAGGAUUUGAGCCUAUGAGCAACCACUUUGCUAUAAUAUUUUUGUUAUGUGAAUAUCAAUCUUAGUUUGUUUAUUCGAGAACUUGCUUUGUUAUGCAUGUUGAAGCCGCAUUACGAGAUUUUAUGCAUUAAAAUGAUAAGGGCAAACCCUUUUCCAUUUUUCUAUUCUCGCAUUUUUUUUUCUCUACCCGAAGACCUUUAUUUGCUAUCUUUGUUUGAGCCUUAACCAUUACCCAUCUAAUUUUCUCCGUCUACUUAACCAUUUUUCUUCUUUUUGAGCCUCAAUUUAAGGAGAUUUUUGGACUCAUUGUGUGGAUAUAUUUUGUUGCUUUUUCUACCUUGUAAUAAAGUUUCUCAAUUAGAUCAACAAGCAUUAUGCUUGAAUUAAAUUGUGCAAGGUUCAUUUCCUUGUUUUGAUUCAAAAAAAAAAAACAAAACAAAAAAAAAGAAAAAGAAAAAAAAAGAAAAAUCGAAAAAAAAGAAAAAAAAUGUUUACAUUCUUGGUGACUUGAGUAGAAAUAAGCAUUUUGAUAUCAUAAGUUCAUUCAAUGAGUUCAUUCUUCUCAUUUUGAUCUCUUUUUCUUUCGUAAACCUUUCUUUUUCAUUCAACCUAUUUAACCCCAUUACAACCCUUUUAAGACCCUUAGAUUUUUGCAAUUUUAUUCAUGUUUUGUGGAUUGAGAUGUGAUAUAUGAGCAAGCUUAUGGUAAUAGCAUUCUUUGAUUUGAUUUGAGUGAAUAAAUGACACCCUAAACACUUUGAGUGCAUAGAGUGAAGUUAUUGAGAGGGCUAUUACAUCUUGUUGCACUUGAAUUUUGAAUGGAUCUUCUUGGUGGUUGAAUGUUCUUAUUCUAUCUUAUGAGAUUCUAUGCUUUAAAAUCCUUGUCUCUCGAAUGUUGAUCGACUUAAUUUCUUGAGGUAUGCUUGCUUAAAAUUAUUUUUGGAUGAGUUGAGAUGAGAAUUGAGUGGAGAUUUGGGAUUAAUCUUGAGUUAUAUGCUUGAGGACAAGCAUCAUCUUGGUGUGGGGGAAUUUGUUAGAGUGCAAUUUAUGCACUAGUUUUGCAUUGUUUACUUCCCUUAAUAUCGAUGUUUUGCACUUAAUAAUAAUGUUUUACUUGUGUUUUACUUUUGUAGGUGCAAUUCUAUUGAUUGAUGAUAAAAUUGAGCUAAAAGAUGAUGUUUAAGGAGGAUUGUUCUCUUGGAGAAAUUUCUGAGCGUCAGAAGAACUUUGUUGAUAAGGCGUGGGCGCGUGCUGUCAACUGCGGACCUGCAGUUUUUAGUUUAACGUGUUUUGUAUUUUUGGUUAUUUUUGUAAUUACGAAUUUAAUAUUUCAGAUAUUAGUAUUUUAUUUUAAAUAGAAUUCUAAAAGAGAAGAGAGAGAGAGUAUUUAAGAGAGGAAUCUAUUGUGAAAAAGGGGGGAUUUUGGAUUGGAGAAAAAGAAACCCUAGAUCUAAUUUUUCUCUUCUCUCUAUGAGGAACUAAACCCAUUUUUCUGGUUGAAGGUUAAUGAAGCUUUGAUUCAUCACUACUGUGAGAUCUUUCUUGUGCUUUAAUUGUUUUAUUACUUUUUGGGUAUUUGUUUAUUCUCUGAAUUAUUUUCAUGAUUAUGUUUGUUAAUUAGGUAAUUGGCCACUAUUUAAUUAUCAACUUAAUCUAUUGUCAAUUAAAGGAUUCAUCGUAUGAAGAAUUUAAUGUUUGUGACAAAUAACAUAGCAGAGAGUUGUGUUGUGAGAAUAAACAAUCUAAUUUAAAUGAAUCAUCAUAUGUGUUGAUUAGGAUUUGGGUCUCUCUGGUUUUUCAGGCUGUCAAUUGAUUAAAUUCUAUGAUCGUAUCUAGGGUUGUCUAUUGAUUAGGGAAAUAACCAACGGUCGUACCUUGGUUAUCGACUAGUUAAGGAGAGAUUGGCUAUUAGAGAGUCUCAGUAGCUAUAACCGGUCUAUUCAUGAGUAAUAAUAAUCUAUAUUUGAAUCAAUGAUCAGUAGUCGAAUCAAGCUGAGUUAAUUCCUUCAACCAGAGCUUUCUCCAAUUUGAAUUACAACUUUAAUUUGCAUUCUUGUUAUUUUAAUUUGAUUUUUAUUAUUGUCAACAAUUCCCCUAUUUUACGUUUUACGUUUCAAAAGGAUUUAAUUAAUUACCUAUCUCUGUGGACACGACCCUGCUCAAUCACUAUACACAAUUUAUUUAGAGUAGGAAUUUACUUUUGUUGGCUUCGACACCCAUCAAAUAUUAAUUACUCUUGUUGUAUCUGAUAGCUGUAUUGUUCACCUUCGUGACUGUGAAUACAAUGAUGUUAAUUUAAUAAAAUUAUAUGCUUGUUUGUUUGAUAAGAAAAUGAUGGAAAAUUUAUUGACUUAGAGAGGAAAAACAGAAAUUGAACUCAUUAUGAUUGAUACAGUGAAAUGAGAUUACAAUACACUAUAUAUAUAUAUAUAGUAGCAUCUGGAACUUUCCAAGUGUAACAGAAUCAUAUACAGUCUCUGAUAUUCACCAUAACAUUUUGGUGGGAAAUAACAAACUAAUAACAAACUUUUAACAACUUGUAUAACAAUCUUCCAGUAGCUUCCAGCAUCUUGUCCAGCGUGGCAUCUGAUUCAUUACUCUACUUAACAAUUUGCUGACAUGAAGAAAAACAAACAACAAACAGCAAACGCACAAACAUAGCAAAAAAAAGAAGACAAGACAAUAAAGACUGCUUUUGACAACCUAAGUGAUUCAUCAACCUAUGUAUCGGGUUUUUCAUUCAUCAGCAAAGAGUUUCAGCACUUGAUCUGAAAAAUAAAGACUGCUUUUGACACUCUAGAAAUUCAAUUUCAUUUUUCCAUGUUAUUGAUGAUCAAACUCAGAUUAGCAACUGAAAAUAUAAUAUAACAAUUUGACAUCAAAAGUAAGUCCACUGAAAAUUUUUGGAAAUAUAUUAAUUAAAAUUAUGUUGAUGAAAUUUUUUAAAAUUUUAUGGUUUUGGUUUACGAAUCGUGUUGGCGAACGGCUUUAUUGUACAAGUACAGGUGCUGCUUCCUCUUCAUCUAUAUUAUACGGUUUACAUUGUUAAUUUAUUUUAGUACUUUGUUUCCUCAUUUGUUGAAAUCCACUGAGUGCUUUAAAGUUACCUGAUUGACACUAAAAUUAUCAUUUUUUUUUCCUUCAUCCUGUUCUCAAAUUCAGUCACGUUCCUUCGUCAUUUGUUCACGAAAUCCAAGUGCGGGCAACCAAUUGAGAAAGCCUGUAUUUUGACAAGCUCAAUCAAAAUUCUUCGGUUCCUUACGUGUUGAUUUCGACCUCUAUAAAUUAAAUUUAUUUAGCUUGAAAAGAGAAUUUGAUAAAAAUUUAAAUAAAGAAAUUGGGCAAUGAGAAUAUAUUUGUAAUUUUAUUAACAAUAUAUGGACAAAUUGGACAAUUAACAACUAUUUUUUUAUGUGCUAGAAGGGUAUAACGGUAAUUAUAUAUUAAAAUUAUAAUUUCUGUUAAAAGUAACGGUUUCCGUUGAUGAAUGAGGGUGUGGAUGUCUUUUUUAAAAUAUUGGAGGGACUUUUAUCCAUCUGUCUAAACGUUGUGAGUGUGUUAGUCUUUUUCCCUAUUUACAAGUACAAUUGUAAAUUUAUUUUCCCAUUCUUCUUCCCUUCUCUUCAAAAUUCAGCGCGAUUUUCUCCAUUUAAUUAUUCACAUCUACAACAUUGCAAAUCUAUAAUUAGAAUUAAAAAUUCUUCUGAUUUUCCAAUACCAAUAAGUCAAUAAAUCAACUAUUAUAGUCAAAACCAAACCCUAAAACAAAAUUAUCAUUUUUUUUCCUUCAUCCUAUUCUCAAAAGGGGCUAUCUUUGUUGCUAGGCAUGUGGUGUUUAACGAAUCAGAAUUUCCUUUCUCUACGAAUCCUCAAUUCUCUAAGCAAUCUUCUACCUCUGUUUCCGAGUAUAGACAUCCUAUGUUUAAAACUUCUUCUGUGUUAGUUCUACUACAUGAUCCUUCAGGCUCAAGUGACAACACUGUACAACAGCUUCAGCUCCAUGCAGUUCCAGCUUCCUCUUCUUCCUCUAGUUCUUCAUCAUCAUCACCUUUACCUCCAAAUCCAUAUUUCCCUGAUCCUUAUCACAAUAUGUCCCAUAAUUCCCAACACUCUUCUUCUUCUACAUCUAUUGUGCCUAUUCCACAGCCUUCUGUCCCUACUCAUGUACCAUUGCCAACUCAUCCAAUGGUUACAAGAGCAAAAGCAGGAAUAUUUAAGCCAAAGUUUCUUGCAUAUUCUUUUGUUCUUGAAGAACAUGAACCUGCUACAAUUUCUCGAGCUCUCUCAAAUCCUAAACGGAAAGCAGCAAUGCAGGCUCAGUAUGAUGCACUCAUGAAAAAUGAAACUUGGGUUCUUCUUCCAACCUCUCAAGUUACUAAAGUUGUUGGUUGUAAAUGAGUGUUUCGCAUUAAGUAUAAUGCAGAUGGCUCUAUAUCUUAGUACAAAGCUCGUUUGGUUGCAAAUGGGUUUCAUCAAACCCCUGGUAUUGAUUACUUUGGGACUUUUAGUCCAGUGGUUAAGCAAUCUACUAUGAGAAUUGUACUUAGUCUUGCUGUUAUGAAGAGCUGGAAAAUAAGGCAGAUAGACAUCAACAAUGCUUUCCUCAAUGGGCAACUCAAUGAAGAUGUUUACAUGUUUCAACCUGAGGGAUUUGUCUAGCUUUCAUCUGGUCAUGUUUGUAAAUUGCUUAAGGCUCUUUAUGGUCUAAAACAGGCUCCUAGAGCAUGGUUUGAUCGGUUAAGGAAAGCAUUGUUGAAGUGGGGGUUUCAGAGCUCAAGAACAAAUUCAUCUUUAUUCUUUAAACAUGAACUUGGAGGUAUUGUUGUUGUGUUGAUAUAUGUUGAUGAUAUUCUUAUUACUGUAGAUAAUAAUACAGUGAUUGAAAGGUUCAUCAAAUAUCUUGGAGAUACUUUUGCUUUAAAAGACCUUGGUUAAUUCAAUUACUUCCUUGGUAUUGAAGUUACUCAAGGUACAAAGGACAACUUACAUCUCUCACAAGCCAAAUAUGUAAGAGAUUUGCUCACAAAAACUGCAGAGAAAGUGAUACUCAAAUGAGUACAAGACAAAAACUAAGAAGAGCAAGAAAUGAAGAUAAUUUGAUUGUUAAUGUUACUGAAUAUAGAAGCAUAAUAGGUGCAUUGUAGUAUUUGGUACUCACAAGACCAGAGCUUGCUUUCUCAGUAAACAAGUUGAGUCAAUUUCUUGCUGCAUCUACAGAGAAGCAUUGGACUGCUUGUAAGAGAAUUCUAAGAUACUUAAAGGCAACUGAGGAUUAUGACUUGCUAUUUAAACCAGGUGGUGGUGUUGUCUUAACUGCAUAUACUGAUGCAGAUUGGGCAUGUGAUGUUGAUGAUAGGAAAUCAGUUGGAGCAUAUUGUGUUUAUCUUGGGCAAAAUCUUAUAUCAUGGUCUUCUGAGAAGCAACAAACAAUAGUUAGAUCUAGCACAUAUAGAGCAUUAUCAACAUCAUGUGCAAAAAUCGUUUGGGUUCAGGCUUUGCUUGGUGAACUUAAUAUUAAGUGCAAUCAAACACCAAUAAUCUGGUGUGACAACAAUGGUACUGCUGCAUUGGCAACAAAUCCAGUAUAUCAUGCUAAAACCAAGCACAUAGAAUUAUAUGUACAUUUCAUAAGAGAGAAUGUGACAAAUAAACAAGUGGAAAUCAAGUAUGUGCCUAGUGAAUGGAAUAUUGCAGAUGUGCUUACAAAGCCUAUGGCUUACUGUUGAGUGUUAGAAAAUGCAUAUUUAUAAAGGAGAAAACCGUCAUUUUACAUUUUAAGUCUUACUAACAACCCUUACUUUUAUAUAUUUAACCUUCUUGUGAUUUAAUUACAUGUGUUUUAUUUUAAUUAAGUAUUUUAUGUAUUUUAGGGGCAUUAUAGUCAUUUCACAAUAAAGGAGAGAUCAGACAGCAAAACGGACAUCACUUUUGAACUCAGGACGGUCGAAAACCUUAGGAGGAGCAUAAAAGGAAAAAUGGCACUAUUCACAUGUACGGUACUAUUCACGUGUACGGUACUGUAUACGUUACUGUUCACGACACUGUUCACAUAGACGGAUGAUGACGUGGCAUUGACCGAUGAUGUGGCAUUGACUGAUGAGGUGUCACGAUCCUGUUGGACUAAAAUUCUUAUGUACUGUUGAUGGUGACGUGGCAGCAUAUCAGUGGACGAAAAAUCUCGCGUACGGUGCAUGCAUCACACAGGAUUAUUUUCAACCAAACCGCGUUACUGUUCAUCCGGGUCAAACCGCGUUACUGUUCAAAGUCGGGUCAAACCGUGUUACUGUUCAUCCGCGUGGUCAAACCGUGGACUGUUGACUGAUGACGUGGCGCAAUCCUGAGCGUCCAAACUGUUUUUAAUCCGAUGGCCAUGAUUUACUCCAUGUAUCUAUAAAAAGGGGGCCUCCCCCCCCUAAUUUGAUAUCUCUGAAUCCAUUUUUGGGAUCCAUUUUCUGUAAUUCCUUCUCCAUCUUGUAUUUUCUUCGUAUUUUAAUAAAUUCUCAUUUUGCCUCUAGUUCAACUAUGAGUGGCUAAUUUUCUUUCAAGCUUGGGUUGAAGGUGAAGUCUCAACAUGUGUCAUGGGCUUAAUUUGGUAAAUUUAUUUUCUCUUCCCCUCUAAUUUUUGUGGAUGUUUUGACUUCUCGUCGACAAAUAAUAAUAGUCUUGUCUAGAUACCGCCUUGGUUACACCGGCUCUCUAGUAUAAGGUUAUUAUUAUUUGGCACGAUAAGCCCUUAGCACCAUAUUGAUUAGAGCGUGGUUCAUGAGGUGUGGAUUCCCCCCUCAUGAUUUAAUUGGCAUUAAUACGGAUUAUUUAGCCCAUGAUGCAUGUUGAUACGGAUCCAGAUACCCAAGUACGUCAUUUCAAUAGAUCUUCGCUUCAAUUUAUUCUCGUCAUUUCAAUUCCAAUUUCAGAAUUUAUUAUCGCCAUUUUAAUUUAAGUUUUAGCAUAUUCCAAUCAUUUCCACCACAAAUCCAAUCACCCAUUCACAAAAAUUAAUUCUACACAAUUAAAAUCCACCUCCUCGUGGGAUCGACACUCGUCACCAUUAAUCUAUACUACAACAGAUUCGUGCGCUUGCGAGUACAUUAAAAUUUGCACAACACUUACUGCUUUUUAAAUUACUAUAGAGACAAGCUUAAUGUUGUUUCAUGACCGUUAAGCUUGAGGAGGAGUGUUAAGAUGCUUAAUCAACAGCAGCAGACCAGUGGCUGAGAUUUGUGCGACAAGGAUUGCUGAGCUGAACAAAUUAGUUAAGUUGUUGUAAUUAGUUUUGGUUUAGCCAAUAGAUGUAUUACAGUUGUACAAAAGGUUGUUAUUACUGUUGAUCAACAAUAUAAGUUUGCUACGAGCUAAAUGUAAUUCAUAUAAUUCAUAUCAAUAAAAUUUUCUCUGAUUUAGUUACUUUUCUUUCUUCUUUCCGUCACUUUCCUGCUAGCCAAACAAACUAUCAACCUAAGAUCCGUGAGUUCUAACUUUUACAAAUGUAAUAAUUACCAUGAAUUUGCAAAAACUUGCAGCAAAUAUUUGUGUCCCAAUAGGUUGACAAUUGCAACACAUAUCGAAAAACUGUAAUAGUACCCUUGAUUAUAAUUACUUGACCAUAGUCAGUGGCGAACUAUGUAUACGCCUGGCAGCCGAGGUGUCAGGAAUUUAAUUUAAUAGGGGUGCCUAAGUUCAAACACUAACAUAAUUAAAAAAAUGGUCAAUAAAUAACAAAUAUUAAAAUAUUUAGGGCUAGUUUGGCAAUCUUAUAACUUUUAAAAUAAUUGUUGUUACUUGCGCUAUAAAAAUAAUAAGUUGUGAAUGGAAUUAGUUAAACGUUUGACAAAAUUUCUUCUUAAAAGUGCUUUUGUAAAUCUCAUUGUUGAACUAUUAUAAGAGUUUAAAUGAUUAAAAUGGACAUAAUAUUAAAUAAAAUAUAUUAUAUAGAUAUAAAUACAUACAUAUAAUAUUUUUUAUUAUGUAUAUUAGUAACUGAUAACUAAAAUAAUUAUCUUUGUUUUAUUAAUUAUUUUUUAUCUCAAUAUAAUUAGUAAUAAUAAUAAUCUCUAGAUUUAAUAAUUUUAUUUCCUAAUUGAAUAAGGAUAAUUUUAGAUUUUUAUAAUAUAUGUAAGGAUAUAUAUGGAAUUUUAUUAAUUAGAAAACUUAUCCUGAAAAUUAGAUUUUGAAAGCCUACUUCUUUUUUGCUUUCCAAAAUAUACUGUAUAUAAGAUAGAGUGAUUUUACCGAAAGUGAUUUUAAAAAAAAAAUCUACCAAACAGUAAAAUUAAAGUUUAGCUUUUAAAAUCACUUUUAAGUCUCUCAAAAGCAAUCUCAAAUAGGCCCUUAAUUCAAUACAGUUAUAAUUGUUCUCAUGUAUUUUCAUAUGUUAAAAAUAUUGAAGAAUAACCUCAUUAUCAUUACUACAAACAUAUUUUCUUCUACGUAUACAAUAAAACUAUCAUUCAACAAUUGGUUUCCCAUAUGAUUUUGUGGAAGAUUUUUCAGAAAAUUCAUAGCUGAAAAUACCCUUUCUAAUUUAGUUUUGUUACCUGAUAAAAUCAUUGCUAAUGUUACCAACAUAUAAAUUAAUGAAUACAACUAUCCAUUAUCUCAACCAUUUUUCUUGCUAACUCACCAGUCUCUUUUAAUCUUAAAAAUGUUGUCAAAACCCACAUUCAUAAUAUAAUCAUCAAGUUGAAUUUCAAGUGCCAUAAUGCAACAAUCUUUCUUUAUGGGUUCAAAAUGUUAAAAAGAAUAUUUAAUAUUUUACUUGUUUUUAAAUUUUAACAAGGGUGUUAUGGUAAAUCAAAUAAAAAUAGGACAAAUAUUAAAAUAAAUUUUAAAAAAAUUAAAAAAUUGAAAAAGGGUUUCAGCCCCUGCUAAAAUGGCACCACAUCUAAAGCCUAGGGUGCCUUGAGGCAACAUACCAAUAAUAAUAAUAAAGAAAGAAAUCAAGAAAAAAAAGACAUAAUAAUACGUAGUAACAUUAGCAAUGUUAAUUGUAUUUUAUGUUUUGACCCCUAUAAUUUUACAAGUUGAUUUUAUGUUACCGCCUACUCAAAUUUAUGGUUUUGGUCAUUGUGUUUGGCCCUCUCAAUUUUAGUGAUUAUAUACUGUAUGAAAUGUAAGUUAUGCAACCCAAGAGGGGGGUGAAUUGAGAUUUUAAAACUUACGCUAAACAAUUCGCACAACAAUUUAAUGUAUUGCCUUAAUCAAAUGUAAAAACAAUAAAUUCAGUAAAACACAAUACUAAAAGAGUAAGUACAAUAAUAAAAGAGUAAGGGAAAAGAAAGCAAACACAACAAUUUUUACGUGGUUCGGCAAUCCUCGCUUACGUCCACGCCUCCAAGCCAACCAAACUCGAGGAUUUCACUAUCAAAGCCUCCCAAAUCUUUAAGUUCUUACAAUUAACUUCCAAGGUGUCAAUGAACCUUUACAAUCAAGAGAUUAUCUCUCCAAUCUAUUCACCCCAAUUAUUUCUCACACUUGUACACUUACAAUUUGAUGAGAAAUGAACAAUUACAACAAAAACUCUCUUUAAGAGUGGAUUUGCAAAUAAUAGCAUAAUAAUGAUUCAAUAAAUGAUGAUUUACGAAAUGGAACCUCAAUAUGUGUUAUAUGAUCUUAUUUAUGCUUGCAUUAGUCUUGAAAAUGAAGAUGGAGUUAAGGUUUUAUAGCUAAAGCCCAAAAACUAACCGUUAUAGGCAAAUUCCAGCGCUCAAGCGGUUAGCCGCUUGAUUUAUCCAACUAGCCGCUCCAGAACAAUGAUGUUACCAUUAAAUUUGAAUUUUCCGAUAGUAUCAUUGUUCAUUAAAUUACAUUUGUGACCAAAACUUUCUAUAAUUAUAUUAUAGCCCAACAUGUCAUAAAACUUUGCAAAUAAGUCUAAUUUCAGAAUUUCUAAAUAAUACCUGUCAUUCCUAAAUCUUAUUGUAAUUAUGAUAUGACCUAGUAUAUAAUAACAUUUUUCAAAAAGUCCUUUUCAAAAUUUAAAAUAAUACCCAUAAAUUUUAAAGUUCUCAAAUCUUUUCAAUUUAGUCCAAAAUUUAAAAAUAUGAGACUUUCCUCAAGCGGUUAGCCGCUCACUCUCUGUUCAAUUUUUUAUUUCAAUUGUUUGGAUUACGUUUUGGUCCUCAAACUUUCUUAAAUUGUAAUAUGACCCAAAAUAUUUCAAAUAUUUGCAAAUAAAUCUAAAUUCGAAAUUCAAAAUUCAAAUUUCAAAACAAUAUUUAAUAAAAUAAAAGAUUGCAAAACUUUUUCAUUUUAGUCCAAAUUACUCAAAUCCACAAAAUACUUUAUCUUAUAAAUAUAAAACCUUUUAGUUUAUGAAAGGUAAUUAUUUAAAUAAACUCUUGAGUUUCUCAAAUGCUAAAUCAUGUAUCAAUUAAAUCAUACCGACUUUACAAGAAUUUGUCACAAUAAUUUGUUCGUUGAGCUUUAAACUUUAUUCUUGAUUUUGCCGUUGUCCGUUGAGUGUCUUGAACUUGAUUCACUUGCAUAAAUAUUAUCCUUAAAAAACUAGUAAAAAUGUGAAAUACAAUAUUUAUUAAAUCACUUAAGACACAUGUUUGUUAUCAUCAAAAUUACAUUAUGGGUAGCCCUUUAGGCUAACACUGUAGCCUACUCAAGUAUAUAGUUUCUUCAUUAGGCCCCAAAACCAAAAUCCUAAAAGUAUCUCCAAAAAGUUCUAUUAAUUUUACUCUUCAAAUAUUUAUUUGCUUACCUAUGUGGUAAAAAUGAGAGUGAAAAAAUAUGUUAUUCUCCAAAAGACUCUUUAAAUAGAAAUAAGUUAAUAUUAUUUUAAUCAAAUAAAUAUUUUUUCAAAGGAAAAAUAAAUGGUAAUUAAAGCAUUUCUCUCUCUUUCUCCCCAAUAAAAAGUAAUAAAAUAUAAAUUGAAGAGAGAGAAAGUAACUCUACAAAUUAAAGAGAGAGAAUUAUUUCUUAUUUGAAAAAUCUUAAUUAGAGUAUCUUUUGAAGUCUUAAAUACUGAUGUAACUCUUCAAAUAAGUAAUAAAAUCUUAUUUGAAGAUUUUUUUAGAGAUGCUCUAACUUCACCACUAGAUUUACUUGAGUAUUCAACAAUACUCGACUUACUCGAGCGUAGGUGAUUUAGUUAUACUUAAUUGACUACUAAAACAAUUUAUUCGACUUACUCGACGAUACUUUACUUAGGUCACUCCAUGUACUAAUAUUUUACUAUUUUUCUAAGUGGUACAUUUAAUUACAAAAAUCCAUGAAAAUUUGAUAAUGAUGAAAUGCUUAAUAAAUAAGGGUAUUUGGUCGAAUCAUAACAAUGUUUGUUAAACACUGGUCUAAUAAUAAGUAGUCAUUUUCUGAUGAAAUAAAAUUAAAGCUGACAAAAUUUAACAUGACUGGUUUACUCUAUACAAAUACAACAUGAAUAAAUAUGUAUCUAUCAUGAAAAUUGACAUGAUUAUUAAAUGAAUUUGGUCUAAGUCAACCCAAUUGUUUCCCGUGUCAGGCUAGAAUUCAAUUUUUCAAUGCAUUUACUUGGUCAAUGACGUGAUUGUUAAAUAGUUAACCAAAACUAAUUCAUAUUUGCAUUAAAAUAUACUUAUAUUUUCAAUUCUAAAUUAAUUUAUAGAAUCUUAUCAUUAAAACUCAAAAUUUGGUCAUGAUUCUAGAUGAACAUAUAUUUGAUGUUCUAUUUUGUAAAAUUCUUGAUAGAUUUAAAACUUCAAUGGUUCAUACAUGUUGUAUUUGCAUCAAAUGAGUGUGUAGUAUUUGAUGUAAAUCGUGUUAGAAUUUAAAUAGGUAUUCAGUGAAUUUUUAGGUUAUAUCAUGUUAGAUGACACAACUACCUAGUUAUUAAAAGAGCGUAUCAAGUCACUAUUUUAUUUUUCGUAUCGAGUUCAAAUUUUAAUAUUUUAACAUUUUAUUUUUCGUAUCAAGUUCAAGUUUUAAUAUUUUAACACGAUUAUUAAAUAAGUCGUGUUUUAACCAACAUAAAUUUAAAACAACACAAAAUUGACACAAUAUGACUGGCUUAAUGACCUAUUUUGUUAGUUUUAUUUAAAACCAUCUAAUCUAUUAAAAAAAAAAAAAAACGGUCCAUGGGCCUAGCCCAAAUAUAAAUUCAACAAAACCAGCUCCCGCUCAAUCACACUCUCUCGGUCGUUCCCUUCACUCUCCAAAACCCCCCAUUCCAAACAAAACCCUCAUUUUUCCCUCUUAACGAAGUCACUUUCUCGAGAACCAAACAUUCCCUUAGAUCUCCAAUUUCAUAAUGAGAGAAGAAGAAAUAGAGAAACUUCGAGGAUUGGUUCGCGACUGUGUGAGUAAGCAUUUGUACUCGUCGGCCAUUUUCUUCGCCGAUAAAAUCGCCGCUUUGACCAAUGACCCUACUGGCCUGUACAUGCAGGCUCAGGCUCUGUUCCUUGGCCGCCACUACCGCCGUCCAUUUCACCUCCUUAACGCCUCAAAAAUUGUGCCCCGUGACCUCCGAUUUCGUUACUUGGCUGGUAAGUGUCAGGUAAAGUUCUGUUUUUUGAUUGCAUUAGAAAAUUUGAAUUUCAGAUUUUGUGAUUUGUGCUUUUUGCGUUUUUAGUUUUUUUUUUUAUGUUAUGAAAAAGGGAAAUUUUGAAAAUUUUAACUUGAAAUUCGUGUUCUUUUUAUUUUAGAACAAAAGAAUUUCAAUGAAAAAUAUUUGGAAAUUGAAUUGCUCUAGCAAAUUUGCAUGUGUUGUGUGUUUUAAGAAAAUGAAAACUAGAUUUUGAGCAAUUAAGGAGAGAUUAUGGACUUUGAGCUGAAUGGUUUUGAUCAAUUUUUUCUUGAAUGUUUAUUUGUUUAUACAACUGGGUAGUUUUUCUUUUACUUAUUUAUUUCUGGUCUGUCCUUUGUAUAAUUAGGAGGAACUGAAGGAGUGGGACUAGUGUUUGUCGAUGCUCGGUGAUGCUAAGGUCGAUGAAGAUGGUAAUGUUUUUGACACAAAGGAUAGCAAUGUCAUGUACUUAGAUAAAGAUGGGGAAGACAGAGAAAUCAAUGUAAGUUUUUGUUUGUAAUCUCAUUUUAUCUGGCCUUUUAUUUUUUAAUUUGUUGCAUAUUUGUUGUAUACUUGACCCAAUAUUUCUUUUUUCUAUUACAGAUCUCUUCAGCUAUAUGCUUUUUGAGAGGCAAAGCAUAUGAAGCCUCAGGAAAUUGUGCCCAAGCUCGGCUGUGGUUAGUUUCUUGCGAUGAAUUUACAUGAAAAUCACUCUGCUUAAUUGUAAAAUGCUUUAUGGUUAUUUUCCCUUAGUUUUUCAGCCAAAAUGAUACCAACUUAUACUGUCUAACAGUCUUCUGUUAUAGUAACUUAGGUGUAGUAAUUUAACGUACUGUUAAAGAAAGGAAAUGACUUUAUUGUUUUAAUGCGAGAAAUUUGAACAUUGUUAUAAACUUGUUUAAGUUGGGCAUAAGUAAAUUUAUCUUCAAUUUCAUUACUGAGCAGAUUUUGUUUGAAUGCAUGAAUGUUUGAUAUAUGUGUUUAAUAGCCAAGGAGUUUGUUUAGAUACUACUUUAAGAAUUAUCUAUAUAUAGAUUGGGUAGUCUAGAAAACUCUCCUUGAUUAAAUCAAUGUAUAAUUUUGAUAAGACAGUUUAAAAUGUUAACAUCCUAUGUCUUCUGGAGUCCAUUUGGUGACACAGGAAUGGUAGUGUAUGCUGGGAUGGUUUAGUUCAAUAAGGCUAUUAGUUCUGUUCUACUUUUUCAAAGAGGUUGAUUGCCAAAUUAACAGCCACAUGAAGGAGAUUGUCUUUUUUUUUUUUUUUGUGUAUCCUGAAUUGUUUUUGCUUCCAACCACAAUUCUGGUCUUCUAUUGGUUCACACUUCCUACUUCUAUCUCGAUGAUUUUAUCUGCAAUACCUCAUUACUAAAUUCAGCUCUAACAACAGAGGAACUUAUUUGCUUCCUCUUUAUCUUGUUCCAUUACUAGCUUUCAUGUGCAGCAUUUUUAGAAUGUUAAAGACUAAUAGUACAGAAAGGUGGUUUUAAAUCAAAUGUAACAAGAUUCAAUUGACAGAUCAGCUAUGCUUCACUCCAUGUGGUUACCUACACACCUGGAUAUUUGUUUUAGAGUUUUAUGCUGUCUGAAUUAGUGGCCUCAUUUUGUUAUCUGAUUGAAAGCUUGCAUGUAUUUCGGUAAGUUAGGUUCUUCCCUCAACUCUUUUUCUUUAGUAACUAUCAUGGUAUUGUUUUAUAACCUUAAUUAGUUUCUCUUUGGUUUUUCAUUUGUCAGUAUAUCUGCUCUAUUCUGUUCAAUUCCUUUUUCUCUAUUCUCUCAGUUAUGUUGAACUAAAACGCUGUAGUUCAUACAAAGGCUUGCUAUAUUUUUUCAUAAUGAUUUAAGGUACAAAGCAGCAAUCAUAGCUGAUCCUUUGUGCUAUGAGGUAUGCAUGACACGCUAUCAAUGUUUUUUUUUUCCUUUCCCCCUAGGGAUAAGCUGGUGGGGGGAGCGUCCCGUUCUCAAAAACUCCUUACCUUGAAUUUUGUGGCUGCAUAAAUUUCAGACAUGACUUUCUAUGCAAAAUAUUACAACCUGUGGAAACUGUUGCCUUCUCAAGGAUUAGAAAAUUACUCAAAAGAGGGCUAGAUUUUUUGAGCUAGGCUUGUCCCUUUUUUUUUUUUUUGUAAAUAGAAUUUUAAUCCUUUUCUUUAAUUUGACCUCUGCUGAUCACAUAGAUGUCUCAUCUGGAUGUUCCUUAUAAGAUAUAUCGAUCCUCAUUCUUUAUGAUUUUUUUUAUGGCUGUACCUUGAUUUCUUUUUCAGGCUUUGGAAUGCCUUAUAGGAAAUCACAUGCUAACAUGCGAGCAAGGUAAUGAUGUAGUUUUUUCCUAGUCAUCUGUUUCUUUCAUCUGAGAGAAGUGGAUUAUGAAAAUGUUUACAGUUUGAAUUAUAGUUCUUACAUAAGUGCGCACGCACACACACACACACAUAAAUGAAAUUAUAGUCACACACAAACAUGUUGAUAUAAAUUUAAUUUGGCAAAAAUUUCUUUGGCUGUGUUCAACUAGCAUUGGAUUUUUCAUGGAACAUGUUAUAAUAGGCUAAUACUUUAAAUUUUUGGAUUUGCUGUUGAAUUUCAGAAACAAGUUUACUUUCAUCAUUGGAAUUUGGUUUUGAAGAUGGAUGGCUUUCUUCAUUCUACUCAUGUUUGAUAAAAAAGGUGAACUGUGUGCAAAUUCAUUAUAUGCUCUUCCAAAUGUAAACAUUUCAAUAAUAAGUUUCCCAUAUGUUUUCGUGAUGUCGAUUCUUUUUGCUGUGUUUGAGUGCAGUGAACAAUUUCUUUCCUUCUUUCCUGUCUCCCUUUGUUUUAUGCAGUAUGACAAGGAGAAUGUUGUAGAAGCCAAAUUCGGAGAAAUUGAAAAAGAAAGAUGUGAUAGUGUCCAUUCGAGCCCAUCCUUCUCACACAGUCUGAAAAACAAUACUGAUCUUUUAGAGGGCUUAUUAUUCUGUCGACCUGCGAUACUAGAUUUCAGAAAUCUUCUCUUCACACAGUGUUCUUGGCUCUCUAAUUGUCAAAAAGUUGAAAAGCCUUUUUCUGUCUGAUGCAUCAUAUAUAUGCAGUUUAAUAUUUGUGGACUUCAAUAAUAUUGAUUACCUUGAUUAUAAUAUUUUCAAUUGUAUGGUUUUUGGGUUUCUUCUUGGUAGGAAAGAUUUUUGUCUUUUUCUUUUUUUUUGGCUUGAUUCUUCUUCUUUUAUUAUUAUUAUUGUUACUGUUUUCCCAUUCACCAAGGAAAAAAAUUGGAAACUUGGCUCCACCUCGCAAAAAGUUUUAGAGCGCAUUUUAAAUUCUCGAAUUUGGGGAAAUUGGAUUGGAGAAUUGGGAAUGAUUGAUUGGUGUUUUCCUUGGCUAAAAACAUUGAAAGAAUGACGAUCGGAUUUUUGGGUGGAGCUCACAAGUUGGGAAAUGAGGAUUGGGAAUCCCGUUGCCAAAGGGGAGGGGGGAAUGCAAACGGAAAUUAACACUUUUACCCUUAAAGAAAUUAAAAUUUUAUUUUUUUCCUUNNNNNNNNNNNNNNNNNNNNNNNNNNNNNNNNNNNNNNNNNNNNNNNNNNNNNNNNNNNNNNNNNNNNNNNNNNNNNNNNNNNNNNNNNNNNNNNNNNNNUUUGUCGCUCUUGUUAAUAUAUCCUUUGUGGAUUUCAUAUGAGGUUUGAAAUGUUAUUUAGUGAAAUUUAAUUUCUUGUUGGCUCUAUUCACCACAGCAAGGCUACAAAUCUUGAUGGGACAUUCGCCCCCGCUUGGAUAGGUUAUGGAAAUGCUUUUGCUGCUCAAGAAGAGGGUGACCAAGCAAUGUUGGGUUAUCGCACUGCUGCUUGUUUGUUUCCAGGGUAAUUUUUAGCAUUAUUUAUUCAUUUCUGUACCUUUCUGAUUUUCUUUUCCUUGGAUCAGCAUAUUCAUGCAAUGAGGACAAGGACAAAGCCACUAACUUGCUUUUGAGCAAGUUUCAGAACACUUUUAGAAUUUCAUUUUUGGCUUCUUUUUUUUAACUUUUUUGGUCUCUGAAAGAUAUCUUAAGGGUAGGGUUUGGUUGAUUUUGCUCAUCUUGAUUUCAUGUAAUCCAUGAAAUUUCUGUUGCUUCAGCUUAAUCUGUUUCAAGUGCGCUACCACUAUAAAAAUUGGGUUUCAUGGGUUAUCAACCAAGAUUUUUUUUUUCUCCUUUGAUUUAAUAUUAAUAAACUGUUUUACCAAUAUAAACUUUUGAUGAAUGCUUCGCAUUUGAUUUCCAUAUUUCUUCCUGAGAAAUGUUGUAAGUUGAUUAAACAUAGUCUUAAAUCGACCCAAGGCAUUGUUGUAAUGUCUUUCUAUUUUGAUAAUAAGCCACACUGUCAUAGUAGUUUUAUGGUCGUAAAGAUCAAUGAAUUUCAUUGUUUAUUGUUUAGUGAUGGUAUGCAUUGUGUUGUGGGAGUACUCUUAUCACUAUGAAUUGUCUUUUUACAGGUUGAAUCUUGAUGUUCUCUUAUUCCAGGUGCCAUUUACCAACUUUGUAAAUUGGAAUGGAGUACAUGCGAACUCACAGCUUUAAGCAUGCCGAACAGGUGUAUUACCUUCUUCUAAAUAUAGACUGCCUUUCAUUUUUCUCUUUAGAUUUCAGUGAGAACUCUUAAGAGGUUGUUUGUUUGCAAUAUGAAGUCUGAUUGUUGGAUAUUCAGAUGUUGGUCUAUACGAUUUGCUAGUUGAUGUUGUCUUGGGGGUUUCAUUUUCCUCUUUGGAUUUAAUGUGAAUACGACUUCUUUCCUCUUUGUUUAAUUGCGACAACUUCUAACAGAUGCUAAUCACAAUCUUUAUUCAUGAUUCUGAGACCUGUGUAAUUAGAAUUUUGGUCAUAUCGUCCAUUUUCCUUUGUUGUCAAAAUAAUGUCUUCUUUAUCCAAAUCUCUUAGUCAUAAUUCUUUGAAUAUAUUGUUGAAUUUCUGAUUAGCUGUCCUUUCUCCAGUUUUUCAUGCAGGCAAAGAACAUAUGCCCAUCAGAUCCACUUGUAUAUAAUGAACUUGGUGUUGUUGCUUACCACAUGAAGGAUGUUUGGUUCACUUGAGUUGCUGUUUUCUGUUGAUCCGUUUACUUUAUUAGUGUUUCAUUUUUAAUAAUAUUAUUACUUAAGGAUAUGAAAUUCUAGUUGAUUUAAACUUAGGUCUUGUUUGGUGUUGAGGUGUUGUAGAUUUUAAGCUACAGGUGUUGUGGAAAAAAGCUACAACUAUUAAAUAAAAGUUAAUAGCUUGUAGUAAAUAUAAUUUUUAAAUAAUAAUUUUGACAAAAUUAGUAAAGAUAUAAUAAAGUUUUCAUCAUACAAGCGUAAAAUCAAAUCAAGUUAACUUUCAAGCUACAACAACUGGUGUUUACCAAAUACUUUAGUACUUUAGUUUUUAAGCUAUAGUUGUUCAACUCAAUACCAAAUGGUGCCUUUCAGGAAUUGUGCUCUUUUUAUUGUUAUAUGUUAUGGCUUUUGUAUGAGUUCCCAAUCACCAGUUUGACCAGCAAUUAUUUGAAAUGUGUGGUGGUUUGAAAAGACCUUGGCGCACAUUCCGUCCUCUUUAAGUGAAAUGUGGGAACCAACUGUGGUGAAUCUUGCACAUGCUUACAGAAAAUUAAAGUAUGUUUAAAUUUAUUGGAAUAGGCUGUCUCACUUGCUUUUUCUUGUUCUAUUGCCUACUCAGGAUAUUUAUCCUUUAUUUUAUUGUGUUUUUGUUGAAUUUUACAUGAAAUAUCAUUCAGAUAUCUAGAUUUGUUUUUUUUUUUUGGCUAAAUUUUCAAAUAGAGGAUCAUCUUUAUCUUGAUAAAUGCAUUUUAUUUUAGGGAUUCCAGCAUAGGGUAAGAUUUUUCAGUUUGCAUCGUCUGAGAUUGUGAGCAGCAUGAAGAUAUAAGAAAGAAGUAUAACCUUCCUUAUACCGUCAUGGCUGCUUAUGGUCAGCUUUGCCCAGUAAGCUCGAGAGACUACUAGGAGCCGUAGAAGUUGUCUGUAGCACUUCCUAAAAGGACUUGAUGCAAAUAGUUUAAAUAAGGAUAUGCCGGAUUAUGGAUUGGUCUACUCUCUACUGGCUACUUCAUAUGCUACCCUUUUAUAUGUUUUUAUCUUUAUGGAAUAGUACUUUUUUUUCAUGUUUUUGCUUUUUUCCUUCUUAGUAGGCAGUGGGUUUAGGUUUAUUUCUAGUAUUGCUAAUCUAUAAACAUACAUUUGACUUAUUGUUUAUUGAACCUGAUUCUAGAAUCUAUCAUGUUUCAGGAUAUAUCACGAGGCAAUAUCCUGUUACGAGCGAGCGCUGAUGUUGUCGAAUAGAAGUUUGAGCACCUAUGCAGGUUGUGCUUACACUUACCAUUUGCAGGUAUGGUGGAUUUAUUAUUAAUUCAUUUUCAAUGAAAACUUGUGUGCCUAUGAAUAUUCUGCUGAUGUGAGGAGUAGUUAGCAAAUUGAUCUAAGUGGUAUUUGUUAGCAAAUACUAGUUUAUUGGAUGCAUCUAAUAUUUGCAGCUUAGGGUUUAAAAAACCAUUGUCAGAUCUUCACCGUUGCGUUCAAAAAACUGCUAGAGUCUAUGGUGGCGAAUUUGUUUCUUUUGGGUCUCUUGUGCAGGAUAACUUCUCUGCUGCCAUUACAUAUUAUCACAAGGUAAACUAAAAAGUACUCUUGCUGUUUCCUUUAUGUGCAAUAAGCGUACUGUCUAUCGUAGUCAUCCACUGUUGAAGAGACAACUCUAAUCUCGCUACAUUAUAUGGAUCAUUGAUUUGCUUUUUCAUUCUAAUCUGCAAAUCAGGCAUUGUGGCCGAAGCCAGAUGAUCAGUUUUGUACCGAAAUGUUAAGUUUGGCUCUUGUUGAUGAAGAUCGCCAUGGCAUUGACCCCAAAAUCGAAUUUGAGUGUAAUUUGUUAUUCAUACCUAUAACAGUUUAAUUAUUUUGGUAUUGGUGAAGGGCUUUUAUUGUAUAAGCUCAGGGUGAAGGGCUUUUAUUGUAUAAGCGCAGGGGUGUCAUCUUCAUCUAUAUUCUACCUUUUACAUUAUUAAUUUAUUUCCUCAUUUGUUGAAAUCUACUUGGCUUAGAAGUGAUUUAAAUUGCUUUCUUUCAUGGAACCAUUUUCUUCACAGUUUUUAUUAUUUACCACCAAACAGUUAAGUCCAUUAAGAAAUUAAUGAUGUCACAUGGAUAUUUCAAGAAUUUUAGUUUAUUAAGCUGGAAGUAUUAUAAUAUUUACAAUUUUAUCAAUUGAUCAAUUUGGAUAAAUAAAACAACCAAUUGAUAAAAGUAUUAUCUCUUUGUGUAUGAUUAACUUUAUUUUUUUAUUGAUUUGGAAGAUUAAACCUAUUUUCACAAUUUAGGGGUAAACCAGACUUUUAGUAUAAAUUCUAUUAAAAUUUUGUUAUUUUAGCAAGUAAAAUGUAAUAGUUGGAAUAUUAAACUGUAAAAAUAUAAUUAUUAAAAAAAUUUACUAAUAAAGUGAUAUAUUAGACGAAGUUAGGCGAUAAAGAGAUAACAUCCCUCUUAGGAAUUAAUUAUAUUAGUUUACAACCUUGUAAUCCUUUGUUAAGCAGCAAAGUAAAAUAUCUUUUAUUGAGUAUUUUUGUUUCCUAUUUAACACAUGCAAUCUUUUAUUAAAUGAAAAAAGAUUUUUUUUUUAAAAUAAAUAAAUAAAAGAGGAGCAAGGCCGAAAUCAAAAGAGUUAAAUUUCGUCGAGCCUCGUGUACUCAGUUUAGAAUUCUAAAUUCACAAGUCUAAUUAGGUUUAUAUUAUUAUUAUGAUAUUAGUUAGAAAGGCAGCUAGUAAGCAAGUCGAAUAAGACAGCUAUUAUUAUUAUUAUUAAGUUUUUUUGGCCUCCUGCCUUUCCUCUUAUGUGAACUUUGUUGAACGACUAAAGAAAGCAUCGGCUAAGCUUCUGAGUCUCAUCCAAAAAUUAUUGGUUUAUACCAAGAUUCCUAAUUGCUACCAUUUGAAUUGUUUUUCAACUUCUAGUUCUCAUAAUUUUGAGAACAAUGAAACAUGAAAAUAAUUGCUUUCUUUGGUGAUUGAUUGAUGUGAUUCUAUUUCAUUGGAUCAUUUUAUUGAAUCUAUUUUUUCAUUGCUACAACCAAAAAUGCUAGUGGGAUCUCUUUCUAGUUUCUAGAAGUACUCUAAUCGCCCUGUUCCUUCUUGAACAUUAAUUGUAGGCUUUUCUGCUACACAACCUUUAAUCUUUUUGAAGUUAGAAUCAAAAGGGGUUUAUCAAAUCUCGAUCCUCCCCAAUUUAGGAUUUCAUAAACAAAAAAUAACUUUGAGAAUAGGGAUCUCUUUUAAAAAAAAAUAAAUUAAUUAAGAAUAAGAGUGAACUACUAUGAAAUUAGUGAGUUCUAAUUAGUUUAAUUAAUAAAUCUUUAUACUAAACUAAGAGAUUUAGAUUUUAAUCAUGUUCACGUGCAUAAGUAGUUACCAAUAUUACUAUGUUUAAGAAAAGUGGUACAAUAGUUUGUUUCAUGUACAUUAUUUUAUUAUUUAUAAUUAAUUAUCACAUUUCUUUUUUUUUUUUAUUAUUAUUGGUUAAAUGAAUCACGAGAUCAAUGGUACGGAUUUAUGAUUGGGAUAUAAGGAAGAAAUCAAUAUGAACUAGCUAAGAAAAUGGAGGAUUAAAAUGAGAAUGGAACAUGAAUCUCUUAAAACAUGGGCAUUUGGUAUCUUGAAUUUUUCUAGUUUAUUAUUAUUAUUUUUGUCGUCGUCGUCGUCUUUGAGGGUGUUUAGGUCAAUUUAUAGUGUAGAUGCCGAUAAGUACAGAAUAGAUGAGUCAACAUAUGUUGAUAGGGAGGUGAAUUCUUUUUCUUUUUUUUUUAUCAUUUUUUAAUGAUUUUUUUUGUCAUUUAUUCUUUUAGCAACUUUAAUUUUUUUUUAAGACUUUUUGUUCUCAGUGGAAACACGAGAUGCACGUGAGGUGGUUGUUAAUUUAGGAGUUGAGUUGAGUUUUUUUACUGAACAUUAAAUUAAUAUUUAUUAAAUAAAAGAAUAAAAAGAUAAAAAUGUAAAAUAAAUUCUAUUAAUAUAUUGUUCGUAAAAAUUAAGUUCAAUAUUGAAUUCUCUAAUUCGUUGUUUAACCUAUAAUUUUGAAAAAAAAUAAAAAAUGGAAAAAAUAAAAAGAAAACAUAAUAAACUAUUAAACCAUAUGACGUUAUAAUAUGAAUACGUUAUCUUGUCACUUUCUUUUUAAGUUAUAUGAUUUUAUAAGUAAAUUUAGAGUCCAGUUAAAUUACAGGGUGAGUAAUUUACAACCCAACCACUUUGUACAAAUAUGAAUAUUUAUAAGAGGGGUCUGGGCUGCAAGUUACUACUAAUGCUUUAACUUAGCGAAAAACCUUAAGUCUAUCUUUUUUGGGAUUAUUUUCUGGGAGAUUGCCACUUUCUCCUUUACAGUAAUUAAUAUAUACCAUUUAUCCCUUUGUUAUUUUGAAAAUGAUAAAAAUCUCAUUGACAGUAUAAGUUACAAUAUUAUCUUUAUUUGUAACUACUCUUUUAUUUAUAUUUAUUAUAAAUUAAAUAAAUUACAUGAAUAUAAACUAAAUAAAAAAAUUAAGUAUUAAAAAUAAGAAAUAUAUGUUUUGAUAUGAGCAAAAAAAUUAAUAAUAAAAUUUUUUUCUUGUAAUUAUUUAUUUUGCAAACAUUUUCUUAUAAUAAACAUUUUGUAAUAUUUUAAAAGUAAAUGUAAAAAGUAUAGGCAAAAUAUUUUAUUAUUUAUCUUAUAAUAAAUUUUUAUUUGUCAUUCAAGUUUUCUUAUAAUAAUUUUUUUAUCAUUUUAUAAUAACUUUCUUAUAUAUUUAUUAUAAGAAAAUUUUUACAAAAUAAAUAAGUACAAGAAAAAAAUUCAUUAUUAAUUUUUUAUAUUAAAAUAUAUAUUUCUUAUUUUUAAUGCUAAUUUUUUAUUUAAUUUAUAUUUAUGUGAUUUAUUUAAUUUAUAAUAAAUAUAAAUAAAAAAAUAAUUAAAAAUAAAAAUAAUAUUAUAAAUUUAUACUAUCAGAGGAAUUUUUAUCCAUUAUAAAAAUAAUAAGAAAAAAUAAUAAAUGUUCAUUACUGUUGGGAGAAAUUCACAAUCUCCUUAUUUUCUCCAUUUGGAUAACAUCACUCGAACUUUAGUUGACCACGUGUCAACAUUUCAAUGGUUUCAUAUCAAAUUAUUAGCUGUGAAUUAUUGAGUGAGAAAACAUACCGGACCCCCAACUUUUGCUUUUACGUGAACAUGAAUCAGAUCCUCUUUUUUUUUUUUUUUUUUUUUUUUCUUUUUGAUAUAGUGAAUCAGAUUCUUGAAAAGCUGUGAAGUGGGGAGCGAUCGUUUAAGUUAUUUAAAUUUAAAGCCGGCAAUAAUUGAAGCCUUAGGAUUGUUAUUGAUUAUUACCUCCACCAAAGCUUUCUGAAAAAACAGAUUAAGAAAAUUUUUUUUUUUUUUGUUUUCCUCGAAACGACAUAAGACGAUCGCUCUUAAUUUUAAAUAACUCCAGUUGACUUACCGUUGAACUGGAAGGACAUAAGGAGAAUGACCUUCUCAUUUUCCAUCUGUCAUAAAAAUUUAUUUAAAAAAUAAGUGCAUAAACUAAGCCGGGCUUAACGUUUUAUUUUUAACCAAUAUAUAUAUAUAUAUAUAUAUAUAUAUAUAUAUAUAUAUAUAUAUUAUAGAAAAUGAUAUUUACAUCCCAAGAUUUAGGAAAAUAGUCACAAAAACUCUUGAGUUUUUAAUAAAGGACACCAAAACUCUUUUUGACCAUAAUGCCUUUUGACUCUAUAAAUCUAAAAAGAAAAAUAACUCUAAAAUUUUAUAAUGAAUAGAAAUAUGACAUUAAAAUAAAUGUAAUAAGAUAUACAUUUCAAAAUAAUUUUAAUAUCUAAAAAUAUUUUAAUAUUUUUAAUCUAUUAGACCUCUUUUAUUAUAUUAAAGCAAUUUUUAAUAAUAAAUAGAAACAAAAUAUUAAAAUAAAAAUUAUUUUGACUAUUAUGUAAAAGUUAAUUUUAAUAUUAUUAAUAGAGAGAUUUUUUAAAUUGUAAAAUCUAUUUAACCCAAAGAUUAUUUAAAAUCUUUUUAAUAUUACAAUUAUAUUAUUAAAAUAAAUAUAAUAAUCUAAAAUUUUAAUAUUAUUUUAAAUGUUAAAAAUAAUUUAAUAUUAUUAGUCUACCAAAUAGAUUUAUAUUAUUUAUAUAAAAUUUGUGUUAGUUAAAAAUUUUUAAAAUCAAUUUUUUAAUUAAUAUAAUCAAAAGUAAUUGUGGGCAAAAAAAAGUUUUUGUAUCUUUUUUUUAAGACUUAAAGAGUUUUUUGUAACUAUUUUCCCAAAUCUUGGAAUGUAGUUAUUCUUUUUCUUUUUUUAUCCCAUCUCAGUUUUUUUACAAGUAUUCAAAUAUUAGUACGUGAAAUAUAUUUUAAAAUAUCCAUCAAUUUAUUAUUUCUUAAAGUACCUUUUAUUAAUAAAUAGCAUAAUACACACGAAGCACCAUUGAUAUUGAUGUUCAUACAUCUGAAUCAAUUUUCGAGUCUACGUCAUGAUUUCUACGUCACGAAUUCUCUUAUUUAAGGCAAACCUCAUAGAGGCAAUCACAAAACAUGAAGAAAAUUGAUUUUGUUCCUAGUCCUCACUUUCUAAAAAGAAUUUUUGUUGAAGCUAUAUAUAUAUAUAUAUAUUGAAUCUUUUGAAAAAAAUUGCUUCCUGAGCAUAUGAUUUCUUGCUGGGUUUCUUCAAUUGCUCUUCUUGUUCAGUUGUUAAAACUUUCCAGUUUCCUCUCUGUAGUACAAAGAAUAUUUGAUCAUUGAAGUGCCACCUUCGUAGUGUUAAUUUCGGUGAUGGAGUCCGCUGCUCAAGUGAGGGAUAUCGAUGCUUUGUAUGAGCUAAUUCGACAUGAUCAAUAUUUUUUGGACAACUUUGACGAGAAACCUUUUGUCGAUACUCCUUUGCAUGCUGCUGCAAGGGAUGGAAAUGUUGAAUGGUCCAUGGAGAUUAUCAGACUAAAGCCAUCAUUUGCCAGGAAGCUAAACCAAGAUGGCUUCUCUCCGGUGCAUUUAGCUUUGCAAAAUGAUCAAACUCAGUUAGUGCUUCAGCUGAUAGAUAUUGAUCCGGACCUUGUUCGUGUCCAAGGAAGAGAAGGCAUCACUCCUUUGCAUUUCGUGUCUGAAAAAGGAGACAUCCAUCUGUUGAGGGAAUUUUUGUCUGCUUGUCCGAAAUCUCUUGAAGAUGUGACCAAUAAAGGCGAGACUGCUCUUCAUAUUGCUUUGAAAAACAAUAACGUCGAAGCUUUUGAUCAAGCCUUAACAACAGUACAACCACCGUGGUUUGACCUUGAAGAAGCUCAACAAUACAAUCCAGGAAUCCUCAACUUGAAGGAUAGGGAUGGCAACACUUUGUUACACAUAGCAACAUCCAAAAGUCAAGUCCAGGCAAGCUCGAAUUCACACACACACAUAUAUAGAAAUUUUCCAAUGAGGUGCAGGCACCCUCAUUUUUUCCUUUUUAAUAUAGACAUGCUGUCUUUUCUUUUUUAAUAUAGACAUGCCGUUAAAUCACGUGCUUUAAUAUAGAUAAUUCUUAAUUCAUUAUAAAGCCAUAUAUUUUAAUAGCAUACCUGUAUAUAGUUUAAUAACGUAUCCGCAUGAGAAAAAAAUGAAAGUGUUUGCAUGAAAAAAAGGACUAUAUAAAUAUAUAUAUAUAUAUAUAUAUAGUAUCUAAUGAACUUAUCUUUAUUUCAACAAAGUAAGGAUGCCAUUAAUAAAUAUAAAAAGAAAAUCUUGAAUAAAUUAAAAUAUGUGUUCUUUUGUAUUUUAUUUACAUCUUUACUUCAUUAAAGUUUCUCUCAUAUACGGUCACAAAUAAAAUUCACAAAUAAAAUUCAGUUGAAUGAUGAUUAGACAGAUUAUUGCUAUUUCCACUUCCUGAUGAUGUCUAAAUUGAUGAAUUUGCUCAUCCAAAGCAGAUUGUAAGGCGUUUAUGGAAUUGCAAAGUUGAUACAAAUGCCCAGAAUUCGGAAGGUUUGACACCUUUAGAUAUUUCAUUACUUGAUCAAACUAAAUCAGAAAACCAAGAGAUUGCGGCAAAGCUGCGGGAAGCUGGAGCACUAGAGGCAACUUCACUUCCUACUACCGACAAGGAUAGACAUUUAUCGAGGUAACAGGAACACUGCUCUUUUACUAAAUUACAGUCCAUUUAUCGAUUAUCUUUUUAAAAACAAUAUGGCAUUUUCAUACUAUGUACAUCUCAAAAAUUGUUUAAUGUCCUUCAGAAGUAAGGAUCAGAGGCUGAACGAGGCUGCUAAAACAGGAAAUGUUGAUGCCUUGUAUGAAUUAAUAUGUGAGGACGCAUAUCUUUUAGAUCAGAUAGACGAAGUACCAUUCGUGGAUACUCCUUUACAUAUAGCAGCAUCAAUGGGGCAUGUCAACUUUGCCCUGGAGAUAAUGAGGUUAAAGCCAUCAUUUGCAAGAAAGCAAAACCAAUAUGGAUUUAGUCCCCUGCAUCUUGCUUUGCAGAAGAAAGAUACCCAAAUGGUGCGUCGGCUCAUAGAUGUGGACAGAAAUCUUGUUCGUGUCCAAGGAAGGGAGGGUGUAACGCCUCUACACUAUGUUGCUGAGAAAGGAAAUGUCGAUAUUCUAUGCCAACUUCUAGAGGCUUGCCCUGAGUCCAUCACAGAGGUGACAAUCCGUAAAGAGACUGCUUUGCAUGUUGCUGCAAAAAAUGACCAGUUGGAGGCCGUUGAGUGCAUGCUAGGAUGGCUUCGAUAUGUCGAUAUGGAGGAUAUCCUUAACUGGACGGACGAUGAAGGCAACACUUUAUUGCAUAUCACAAUCUCCAAAAGUCAAAUAAAGGCAUGAAAUUUUUUUAAAUUUUACUUCAGUUAGUCCCUAUAUUUUCAUGAUUAUUAAUUGCAUGCAUAUAUAAAUAUAUCCUUGCAGUUGGUGAGGCUACUAGUUAAAAGAGCACGUGAUCAAAUAAAUGCUCGGAACUUAGGCGAUAAGACACCCAUGGACAUGGUAGAAGAACAUUUGCGAGGGAAACCUGAAUUUAAAGAAGUAACACGCAUGGUGCGCAAAGCUGGCGGCCGACAAGAGUCCUCCCCUCCUCCUCGUAGGGACGUUGCAGGUUACUUAAAACAAGGUUUGACAUGUCGUCGAAAGGUGCUUUUGUUCUUUUACCGCUCAUCACAGCGCAUUACGGAUGAAAAUCGAAGCGCACUACUUGUGGUUGCUAUACUAAUCGCGACAGCCACAUUCCAAGCAGCGCUUACCCCGUCUGACGAUCUUGAGGGAAAUAAGUCAACUGGAACCCCCAACUCUAUUGCCACUAAUGGAUCACACUCAUCAUCGACAUCGGCAUCGACGUGGGCAUCAGUAUGGGCAUCAGUAAACCAAUCAGGAACAGCAAAUGCAACGGCCUUUGGUGUGAGCAAUGGAACCAGCAGCAGCAUCCCAACAAGUGACAAGAUUCUAUUCGCUCCGGGGCAAUUAUAUCCUGAAGCCAUUAGUGAUACGAUCUCCACACUUUUCGCAUUUUCAAAUAUUACAGCAUUUUUUAUAUCUAUGCUGGUGAUUAAUUAUCACCUCCCGUAUGGCUCCGCAGCUACUCUGGUAUAUCCUCUAGUUAUUUGCUUUUGCCUGUUAGUGGUUGGCAGAACCCCGGUGUCGCUACUUGCCUCACUUUCAAUGCUUAUCGUCUUUCGGAUUUGUUUAUUUGUACAACUGGACUUCUCCAAGAUUCGAUUUAGACGAAGCUUCUGGAUUACACAAGUUUUGGGCUCCGUUUUCAAACAUUAUAGAAGCUUCCUCAAUAAGAUAAUGAAAGAUGCUGAAAAAUAGCUAUAAUGCCAAUAUGCUGCCAUGGAUAAAACACAUGUCCGUUGGUCUGUUGAUGUUCUCUGCUGGCUUGGCUUUAUCUACUUAGUGUGACACUUCCUCUCAAGUAAUAUUGCUGGUUUUAUUUUGCGUAAGAAGGUGUGCUUUUGUGUACUGUAUUUUCUGAAUUAUGUUCGUUUGCUUUUGCUUCAUUUUGUAAGGUCUUCGCAUGUUUCAAUGUAAUAUUAAUUACUCUUGUUGUAUCUGAUAGUUGUACUGUUCACCUUCGUGACUGUGAAUAUAAUGAUGUUAAUUUAAUUAAAACUAUAUGCUUGUUUGUUUGAUAAGAAAAUGAAGGAAAAUUUAUUGACUUAGAGAGGAAAAACAGAGAUUGAAACUAUAUGCAUCUGGAACUUUCCAAGUGUAACAGAAUCAUAUACACACUCUCUGAUAUUCACCAUAACAAUUUGGUGGGAAAUAAAAAACUUUUAACAACUUGCAUUACAAUCUUCCAGUAGGUUCCAGCAGCUUGUCCAGCUUGGCAUCUGACAUCAAUUAGUUGACUCAACUUAUUCUUAACAAAUUUUUAUGAACAUAUGAAAUAUCAAUAUCAUUGGGCUUUUGAUGCUCCCACCCACAGGCUACUUAAAAUUGUACCUAUAAAAGUCUGUUAGAAGAAAAGCUGAUUCAAAAUACUUACGGCAAUAUAUGAAGAAAAACAAUCAACAAACAGCAAACACACAAACAUAGCAAUAAAAGAAGACAAGGCAAUGUUUGAUGAGAUUAAAAAGCUGACACAUGUAGCAUAUAUAUUUACGUUUUCUUGGAGAGAGGAAACCGCUGUUGGAUCUUCAUUGAUGAACCCUUCAACAGGCCUCCAAAAGGCUCUGCUGGGUCAUAAUAAAUCGCAACAUCCCCUGGCCUAAUUGAUUCAUCAACCUAUGUAUCAGGUUUUUCAUUCAUCAGCAAAGAGUUUCAGCAAUUGAUCUAAAAAAUAAAGACUGCUUUUGACACUCUAUAUAUAUGUGUGUGUGUGUGUGUGUCUUUUCCAGACAUUAGCAGAUCUAAAAUACUGUAGUAGAACAUACAUACAUAUGUAUAUGUAUAUAUAUCCAGCGGCUCAUGGAGCCCUUUUUCUUUUUUUCUUUUUAUUUUGCAGGCUGCACGUGGUGGGAGCGCCCUUUAUCCUCCUCUUUUUUUUUUUAAUUUUGCAGGCUGCGCGUGGUGGACCUUUGAUGUCCCGCAUCGGAUUACUAUCCUCUCUCUCUCUCUCUCUAUAUAAUUGUCCAGUUAUUUCUAAAUUUUAAGCAAUUUAGAUUUAGUGAUGAUUUAAAUGUCAAAAUUUAAAAUUUUUAUUUUUCUUUUUGAAAUUUCGAUAUCCAAGAGAUUGCAGUAAUAAUAACCCAAUUAAACUUCCACCAGUGAAACCACUUCUCCAUGAGAUCUUAUUGUAAAUGCACAAAAAGUUGAGGGUACCAUGCAUAUACAGGAGCGCCGUAGCUGAACCCUCAAAUUAUUUAAUUGAGGACAAAUUGUAAAAAGAUAACCUUAUUAUCGAAGUCAUGGAGUUCUAAUAUGAAAAUGGCUAUAGCUUUCUAUUGGAACAGAAGCCUGUUAAAAUAUAAUAUUUCUCUCUAAAAUCAUCUAACAAAUUAAUAAUGAAGAUUUCUUUAUAAUGUUGUAUGAGUUUUUAUAGUAUUAAUAGUCGAAUUGUUGUAGAUUCUUGAAUUUUAAUGUUUUAAUCUCUACCAUUCAUUUGAUAUAGUGGAUAAAAAAAAUUAAUUAUUUAAAUAAUAACAGGUAACCUUCAGGUUGCAAGUAAAUGUGGAUUUUUUUUUUUAAAGAAAAUUUAUAUUAUGUUGGAUAAAAACCCCACAUUCAAUGGUGGGAUCAUUUGAUUUAAUAUUAUAAUCUUUACCCUUAAUUUAAUUUUAAUAGUUAAGUAAUUAUGUAGCAAAUAAUUUGCAAGUUGUGAUAUUUCUUCAUACUUUAAAUUAUUUUUUAUCUAAUCAACUGAUAAAUACAAAUAAUUAAUUUUGGAAUUAAAAUUGUUAUGUACUGGUUCUAUCACUUUACAAUUUUACAUUUUUUUUUUUGCUUUUACAUUUAGCAUUAAAAAUAUAUGUAAUAACAUUAAAAUAAAUGUAAUUAACCAGUAAUAUUAUUUCAACAAUACUUUAUUUAAAGAUAUUUCAUAAAAUCUUAUAACAAUUUGUAUUGUAUGAAUUUAAUUACAAAGCCAUUAAUACUUAGACAAUAAUGAAUUGGCAAUGGAGAUUAUUAAGCUAAAGCCUUCAUUUGCCAAGAAGCCCAACCAAGAUGGCUUCUCUCCCAUGCACUUGGCUUUGCGAAAAUGGUCAAACUCAAACAGUGCUUCAGUUGAUAGAUACUGAUCCGGAACUCGUUCGUGUUAAAGGAAGGGAAGGCAUCACUCCUCUGCAUCAUGCGUCUGAAGAUGGAGACCUGUAUCUCUUGGAGAAAUUUUUGUCUGUUUGUCUGAAAUCUCUUGAAGAUGUGACAAAUAAAAGCGACACUGCUCUUCAUAUUGCUUUGAAAAACGAUAAGGUUGAAGCUUUUCAAGUCCUAACAAGAUGCCCUCCGUCGGUCAUUGGCCUUAAAGAAGCUGAUCAAUGCUACAACAAAAGAAUCCUCAACUCGAAAAAUAGGGAUGGCAGCACUCUGCUACACAUUGCAACAUCAAAAAAUCAAGUCCAGGCAAGCUUGAAUUAAUAUGCUAAAAAAAUCGGUUGAGUGAUUACAUUAUUGAUAUUGCCACCUGUUUUUUGUUUUAAAGUUUCAGAGUUUGUAUAUUACAUAGUGUCGCGCCUUCUAUUUUUGUGAGCUGUAGAGCUCUCACUCACACCUAACUUACUUAGGACCGUUUUCUAAGUAUUUAGGGAGUAGAUGAUUCCUAAUUAAUUAGAUUAGGAGUAAGUUUUUCUAAAGAUAAUCAUGCACAUAUUAUUAUGUUUUCCCUUUUAAGUAUGGUUUCUUCUCAUUCGAUUAGGAUACCUUAUAGUAGCAAUAUUACUUAAGACUUGUAUAUAAAGACCUCUUUGCAAGCAUAUAAUACAACAAGAUCUAAGCCAUAAUUAAUUUGCUCUCUAAGUUCCCACAUUCUCUCUUUCUUUGCCGUGAUGCUACAUUAAGAGUGUGAAAAUCAGAAAAAGGACAAAAGACCCCUGUGGUUUAGUGAAAUAGUUAUGAAACCUACUUAUUUUUAGAAAUAAUCAUAAAUACACCUUUUAGGAUACACAAACCCAAUUUAUUUGCCAAACUUUAGGGGUCUAUAUGACUUUUCUAAAUGUGAAAAUGAUUUACAUGUCCCCAAAAGGGGUAAUGUCGGACUAUUUCUGAAAACAAUCAGUCUCUAUAUGAUCAAUUUACUGAAUUUAUGAGUGUUGAUGUCUUUUUUCCUACUACAUCUUAUAGCUUAAACACAGACUCACAAGCAAAUAAAGAAUUGAUUUUUUCCAUAUUAAACAUGUCUCAUUACGUUAUUCUAGUUUUGUACCAUAUUGUUACAUUCCUUCAUCAUCUAGACCUAAUAUCAAUGGCUUUCAAUCAAUUACAUUACAUUACAAAAUGAUGUAGAAGAUAUCAUAUGAUAUUUGUCUUAUUACAGUAUUACACAUGACAUUGCAACCUUAAUUAAUAUAAUCAACCUAGAGUGUUCUUGCUCUACAAGUUAUACACUAGGUGAAAUCAUAGCCCUUGAUUUUGACACUUGAUGAAGAUUCAAUCAUUACUUGAUAACUUGUAGAAUUCAAAUCAAAUGCUUCUCUGAAGCAUUUCAUCAAACAACUUAUUCCAAAUAUCAAACACCCACUCUUUUAACUUCAAAACUACCUAACGACUUUGUAUUCACAUGUCCCAGCAGAUUGUAACGAGUUUAUUGAACUGCAAAGUUGAAAUAAAUUCUUUGAAUUCUGAUGGCUUGACACCUUUAGAUAUUACAUUACUUGAUCAAACUCAGUCAAGAAAUCAGGAGAUUGAGGAUAUGCUAUGCAGCGCUGGAGCAUUAGAAGCAACUCCACUUCCUAUUAUGGCCAACUGCACAAAUGUAUUGAGGUAAAACAACUCUUUUGCUAAACUAUGGUCCAUAUAUGGAUAAUAAUUUUAAAUAAUAUAUUUCAUUAAUUUGCAUUUUCCAUGUUAUGCACAUUGUAAUUACUUGCUAAGAAUAUUGCUUAAAUCAAUUAAUUAAUGUCCUUCAGAACGGAUCAGAGGUUGAACGAGGCUGCUCAAGUAGGAAAUGUUGAUGCCUUGUAUGAAUUAAUAUGGGAGGACGCAUAUCUUUUAGAUCAGAUAGACCGGGUACCAUUUGUGGAUACACCUUUACAUAUAGCAGCAUCGAUGGGGCAUGUCAACUUUGCCUUGGAGAUUAUGAGAUUGAAG
rnacentral:lncRNA from 1 species